AGUGAACGCUGGCGGUAGGCCUAACACAUGCAAGUCGAACGGCAGCACAGUAAGAGCUUGCUCUUACGGGUGGCGAGUGGCGGACGGGUGAGGAAUACAUCGGAAUCUACUUUUUCGUGGGGGCUAACGUAGGGAAACUUACGCUAAUACCGCAUACGACCUACGGGUGAAAGCAGGGGAUCUUCGGACCUUGCGCGAUUGAAUGAGCCGAUGUCGGAUUAGCUAGUUGGCGGGGUAAAGGCCCACCAAGGCGACGAUCCGUAGCUGGUCUGAGAGGAUGAUCAGCCACACGGGAACUGAGACACGGUCCAGACUCCUACGGGAGGCAGCAGUGGGGAAUAUUGGACGAUGGGCGCAAGCCUGAUCCAGCCAUACCGCGUGGGUGAAGAAGGCCUUCGGGUUGUAAAGCCCUUUUGUUGGGAAAGAAAAGCAGCAGGUUAAUACCCCGCUGUUCUGACGGUACCCAAAGAAUAAGCACCGGCUAACUUCGUG
rnacentral:rRNA from 1 species